AGUGAACGCUGGCGGCAGGCCUAACACAUGCAAGUCGAACGGCAGCACAGUAAGAGCUUGCUCUUACGGGUGGCGAGUGGCGGACGGGUGAGGAAUACAUCGGAAUCUACUUUUUCGUGGGGGAUAACGUAGGGAAACUUACGCUAAUACCGCAUACGACCUACGGGUGAAAGCAGGGGAUCUUCGGUCCUUGCGCGAUUGAAUGAGCCGAUGUCGGAUUAGCUAGUUGGCGGGGUAAAGGCCCACCAAGGCGACGAUCCGUAGCUGGUGUGAGAGGAUGAUCAGCCGCACUGGAACUGGGACACGGACCAGGCUCCUACGAGAGGCAGCAGUGGGGAAUAUUGGACAAUGGGCGCAAGCCUGAUCCAGCCAUACCGCGUGGGUGAAGGAGGCCUUCGGGUUGUGAAGCCCUUUUGUUGGGAGAGAAAAUCAGCAGGUUAAUACGCCGCUGUUCUGACGGUACCCAAAGAAAAAGCACCGGCUAACUACGUG
rnacentral:rRNA from 1 species